GUUCGAGGUGAACCUGCGGAAGGAUCAUUGUCGAAAUCGAACGGAAGAACGACCCGCGAAUCGUCAUUGCUUACUAGACAGAGCCCGUGAGCACCUAACGCUCAUGGGGCUCGCGUCGCGUCGGCGCGGGUGUCCUCGAGACCCGCGUCGUACCGGCGGACAAACAACGUCAGCACGGAUCGUGCCAAGGAGCUGCACGGAGAGAAUCGUCGUCCCACGCCUUUGAUAGUCCUCGACGCGGGACGGGGGACGUACGCAAUCUCUACUCAAGUCUAAACGACUCUCGGCAACGGAUAUCUCGGCUCUUGCAUCGAUGAAGAACGUAGCGAAAUGCGAUACUUGGUGUGAAUUGCAGAAUCCCGUGAACCAUCAAUUCUUUGAACGCAAGUUGCGCCCGAAGCCAUUCGGCCGAGGGCACGCCUGCCUGGGUGUCGUGAAUCCCCUUGCCCCUAGGCACCCGCACGAGCAUUGGCCUCGGGCGCAGAACAUGGUCUCCCGCGGGAUCGGCAUGCACGGCAUGUCGAGGUGCGGUUGGCCGAAAAUCGAGCAUGGCGGUGACGGGCACCACGGCGUUCGGUGGAUCGAAUGAGAUUGGCUGCGCCGUGGGCUCGGCAUGCGGCGGGCUCCGGACUUUGAAUAUCCCCGAGUGCGAUCCCAGGUCAGGCGGGGCUACCCGCUGAGUUUAAG
rnacentral:rRNA from 1 species